CUUUCCAGAGUCUAAUUUCAAAGGUUCAUUCCAUCUUCAGAAGAAAGUCCUGGGGCAAGUCUUUCCUGGGGGCCUCAGCUAUCUUGGAGCUGGGGAUGGAGUUUGGACCUCCAAAUGCUGAGUCUGAGAACUUGAGGCUCAGAGGCCCGAGUGAGAACCCAAAGGCUUGUGUUUUCUGGGUCACUCCCACUUCCUCCCACACAGAUAAGAAGAAACCCCUUCUUUUGCUGCACUCCCAGAUACAUUAAAUCCUUGACAACAUUUCCCUUGGCGAUGUGAGCCAAGCUCUUAAUCUCCCCAGCUCAGAAGGACAACCUGCUGAAAAGAAAGUCUAGGUCUCAGCACCUUGGACAGAGCCUGAGAACCAGAUCUCCAUGCUGCUCUAUCUUCUGCCAAGAUGGGUAAAUUGAGGCAAACAGGAUUAAAUGACGUAUUCAAGGUCACACAGCAAGGAAGUAUCUGAGGCUGGUUUGAAUUCAGGAAAAUGAAUCUUCCUGACUCUAGGCCCAGUGUUCUAUCCACUGCACCAUUCAACUACUCUAAGGGAUUACUAUGAAGAUCAAAGGAGAAAAUGGAAGCUCUUUGGGGAAAAAAACCCAAUGACUUAUAAAGAUGAAAGAAGAUUCUCAUGGAGUUGAUAAAUUAAGCUUUUGCCUGUUUUUCCCAGUAGCUCCAGUCUCCACUUCCUAUCUCCACCUCUCUGUACUGCCACUGCCCAUCACCACUGGACAUUUCUUCUCCCCUCCUUCAUGAGUUGGGAUCUGGCUCACGAGAGACUGAUGGCAGGAUCAUGUUCUGAUCUGGAAGGACCCGGCCCCAGAAGCAUUCACUUUGCAUCUCAUUUGCCCGUGGUGAACUAAAUUCUGAUGGGACAGCCCUGGAUCAGGGGGUCUGACAAACCAAAAGAUCCGUGAUGAACACAUAAAAGGCAUAAAUACAUAAAUUUAAAAAAAAACCAUAAAUACAACUUUAAAAAAGAAAAAGAAAAUCCACAGAAGGAAAUGAGAAAAAUCCCCAAACAAAGAAAAGUUGAGAUUGGGGCCCCCUGGUGGCUGCCAGUGCCACUUGUCCCUUCCUUUUCUCUCAACUUCACUCAGGUUUGAGCAGUCAGGGAGGGGGUUGGAGAGCAGGCUCGGGUCAGGAGGGUUAAAUGCUGUUGUUUGAAGAUUAUACAGUGAUCAGGUCUGAUGUAUGUGGUCUCACACAAGGAGACGAUUCCAGUUCCAGUGAUCUUGUGAUGGAGAGAGCCAUCUGCACCAGAGAGGGGACUGAAUGUAGAUCCUAACAUAGUAUUUUUUACCUUUUUUGUUUUUAUUUUCUUGAAUUUUAUUUUCUUUCUCACUUUUUUCUUUUUGAUUUGCUUUUCUUGUGCAGCAAGAUAACUGUAUAAAUAUGUAUACAUAUAUUGGAUUUAACUACUUGCCAUCUAGGAGGGGGUGAGGAAAGGGGGGAAAUUGGAAUACAUGGUUUUGCAAGGGUUAAUGUCAAAGAAUUAUCCAUGUAUAUGCUUGAAAAAUAAAAAGCUUUAAUAAAAAAAAUAAAUAAAAUU